rnacentral:rRNA from 1 species
AGUCGAACGAUGAAGCCCUUCGGGGUGGAUUAGUGGCGAACGGGUGAGUAACACGUGGGCAAUCUGCCCUUCACUCUGGGACAAGCCCUGGAAACGGGGUCUAAUACCGGAUAAUACCGGCUUCCGCAUGGGGGCCGGUUGAAAGCUCCGGCGGUGAAGGAUGAGCCCGCGGCCUAUCAGCUUGUUGGUGGGGUAAUGGCCUACCAAGGCGACGACGGGUAGCCGGCCUGAGAGGGCGACCGGCCACACUGGGACUGAGACACGGCCCAGACUCCUACGGGAGGCAGCAGUGGGGAAUAUUGCACAAUGGGCGAAAGCCUGAUGCAGCGACGCCGCGUGAGGGAUGACGGCCUUCGGGUUGUAAACCUCUUUCAGCAGGGAAGAAGCGCAAGUGACGGUACCUGCAGAAGAAGCGCCGGCUAACUACGUGCCAGCAGCCGCGGUAAUACGUAGGGCGCAAGCGUUGUCCGGAAUUAUUGGGCGUAAAGAGCUCGUAGGCGGCUUGUCACGUCGGGUGUGAAAGCCCGGGGCUUAACCCCGGGUCUGCAUCCGAUACGGGCAGGCUAGAGUGUGGUAGGGGAGAUCGGAAUUCCUGGUGUAGCGGUGAAAUGCGCAGAUAUCAGGAG